rnacentral:tRNA from 2 species
GCGCCCGUGGCCUAAUGGACAAGGCGUUUGACUUCUAAUCAAGCGAUUGUGGGUUCGAGUCCCACCGGGCGUG